UACGAAGGGGGCUAGCGUUGCUCGGAAUCACUGGGCGUAAAGGGUGCGUAGGCGGGUCUUUAAGUCAGGGGUGAAAUCCUGGAGCUCAACUCCAGAACUGCCUUUGAUACUGAAGAUCUUGAGUUCGGGAGAGGUGAGUGGAACUGCGAGUGUAGAGGUGAAAUUCGUAGAUAUUCGCAAGAACACCAGUGGCGAAGGCGGCUCACUGGCCCGAUACUGACGCUCAGGCACGAAAGCGUGGGGAGCAAAAGGG
rnacentral:rRNA from 1 species